UUCCGUCCAGCAACCUUCAUCGCCGGAACCGGCGACCAGCAGUCCAGAACGACCACCUCCGUCCCAUCCCAGCCUUCACUUUCUAGCCUCGACUCACACCUAAACCAUCCACAACGACCCCCAUCUCCAGCUCAACCAGUAACGCCUCCUCUCAACCAGCUUUCACGGCCAACGACCCAAACAGUCCCGUCGCCGCAGACCCACAACCAGAACGCAGCCUCCUCUCCCGUUAGUCUGUCGUGCUUCCGUUGCCGGAGAGGUACCAGUGUUGUCGUUUUUCCGUUCGAGGUAUCUGUCCAGUCAAGGAUUCGUUGAGGUUCCGUCCUUCGGUCACGUAGCGUCGUCACAUUUUUCCGAGAUAACAGAGGUCAAUCCUUUCAUCUCAUUUAAUGUUGUUUUCGUAUUAGUUCUUAUACCCUGUUAGCAUGCAAUUUUGUGUAGAAUAUUGUUGUUUAUAAAAAAAAUAUUGAGUUGAGAAGGAAACAUUGUAUUACCAUGUCUCUUGCUUUCUCUACAUCUUCCAUUACUGUAUCGGUAAUUACUUUGGUGUAGAUUUUGUUGGGUUCUUAUUCUGUUAGUAUAUGUCUAAUUCAAUUGUUGUACAUGGUGAAGUAGCUUAAAAGGUGUGUAUGUUUGUUAUAAAUUGGAUUCACGUUUAUGUAUUAAUAAUGCAUUUGUU
rnacentral:lncRNA from 1 species